AGGCCACCUUCAGCUUCUAGAGGCUGCACAGAAUUUCCUGCCACAUGGCCCGCUCCAUAGGCAGAUAAAAACAUGGCAGCUUGCUUUCUUAAGGCCAGCAAGAGAGGGAGAGAGUCUGCUAGCAAGAGGUAAUGGUAGAUAAUGUAAUCAAAAGAGUAACCACCAUCAUUUUGCUGUAUUCUAUUGGUUAGAAGGCAGCCAUGGAUUCCACCCACACUCAAGGAAGGGGAUCACACAGCAGCAUGAACACCAGGAGAGAGGAUCAUGAGGCCACCUUACAGUCUGUCUUCCACAAGGACUCAUCACCUAGGGAUAUAUGCCCUUGUAAGGACUUUGGCUUUUUCUCUGAGACUGGGAGCCAUUGGAAGACUUUGAACCAAGGAAUUACAUGCUGUGAUUUGUUUUAACAGGAAACAAAUGGAAAUAGACUCCCACAGGCUGAGGACAAAAGCACAGGAUCAACUAAGAUGCUAUCCAGGUGAAAGUGGAUGAGGGUAAGUUUGGGAUGGUGGCCAUGGAGAAGGAGAAGCCAUGUUCUGAAUAUAUUUUGAAAGCCGGGCCAACGUGAUUUGUUACAGGUUGGAUGUAGAACAUGAGGAAAAAUGAGGAGUCAAGGUUUAUCUCAGAUUUUUGUGCUGAACAACUGGAAGGAUGGAGUUGCCGUUAUCUGAGGUGGGGAAGAUUGAGGGAGAAUAUCAGGGGCCCUGUUUUGGAUACAUUUGAGCUGCCAGCCAUUUGAUGGCAGAUAAGUUAUGCUACGUACACUCAACCCUGGAAGGAGGAGUGAUUCAUCUUUAAUGGAACUGCCAUCUAUACCAGAUUUGGGUUUGCAUUCCACACCUGCAGCACAUCUGCAAGCAUUACUGCUUGAGCGCUGAGUGCUUCAUUUAUAGGCAUCAGAUUCCAGAUUCCACGGUAUUGCCUCAGAGGACCCAUUUAUGGCAAAGGAAGUAUGAGAUACAGUGGUUCUCCUUAUACUUCCCAUUACCUGGAAGCAGUAAGAAUGUUGGAAUGACAUAGUAAAGGUUCCAAAAGGGUGUGAGCUUGGGGAUGCUGUCUUUCAGGAUGGAGUCUAUGCACUGAGCUACUGGCUGAUAUAGAGUGUUGUGUCUCUGACAGUCAGACUUCAUGGGUCCAAGAAUUAAGGGGUAAAAGAAGGAUUGGCCCUUUCAACAUCACUCACAGUGACUCACCAAUCUUGCAAGUCUAAGCUCCAAUGGAUAGAAAAUUCUUGUUCUCAGCAGAACAUUGCUUCAACCUGGGCACAGUAAGAUGUCCAUGGAAACUAAAGCAAGUCUGAAGCCUGGACAAUUUGGUCUCUUCAAGAGGAGAUAACAGCAGGCAAAAGAAGUUUCUAUAUGAACAUGGGAAAUCAAUUCUAUUAUCAUGAACAGCUACUUAUUGUUCCUGCUACUAUGCAACCUGGAGGACCAUAUCUGGAACCCAGGGAAUUCAUGGGGGCAUCUCAUAAGUGCUCCAGGAUGGGUGAAUCUGUGAAAAAGUCGACCCAAUGUGGACAUAAGUAGAGCUGAGAUCUGCAAGAGAUUGGCCAGCAGACAUGGGCGGUGCCCCACAUCAUGCCCUGCCACCCACCCUGAUUUCAGCAGCAGCAGUCUCAUGCUCAGAUGUCUCUGCUUGGGGAAACCAUGUUGUGAGCAAACCAACAGUGGGGGCCGUGUGGAGAGGAAGCCUCCUGCCAACGCCUUGCAAGUGAGCUUGCAAGUGGAUCCUCCAGCCCGAUGUCAAGAAUUCAGAGAGUAUGGCCUCAGCCAACAGCCUGAGAAACCCUGGCCCAGACCAUCCAGCCGGGUCAUCGCAGAUUCCCAACCCUCAGACAGCAUAUAAGAAAAUAAAUAUUUGCUCCUUUAAGCAGCUAA